rnacentral:tRNA from 1 species
GAUCGAUUGGCCCAGUGGUUAAGGCACCUGCUUUACAAGAGAAUCGCAGGGGAUCGCAGGUUCGAACCCUGCAUCGAUCA